rnacentral:rRNA from 1 species
GAUGAACGCUAGCUACAGGCUUAACAUAUGCAAGUCGAGGGGAAACGACAUCGAAAGCUUGCUUUUGAUGGGCGUCGACCGGCGCACGGGUGAGUAACGCGUAUCCAACCUGCCCACCACUUGGGGAUAACCUUGCGAAAGUAAGACUAAUACCCAAUGACGUCUCUAGAAGACGUCUGAAGGAGAUUAAAGAUUUAUCGGUGAUGGAUGGGGAUGCGUCUGAUUAGCUUGUUGGCGGGGUAACGGCCCACCAAGGCGACGAUCAGUAGGGGUUCUGAGAGGAAGGUCCCCCACAUUGGAACUGAGACACGGUCCAAACUCCUACGGGAGGCAGCAGUGAGGAAUAUUGGUCAAUGGGCGAGAGCCCGAACCAGCCAAGUAGCAUGCAGGAUGACGGCCCUAUGGGUUGUAAACUGCUUUUAUAAGGGAAUAAAGUGAGUCUCGUGAGACUUUUUGCAUGUACCUUAUGAAUAAGGACCGGCUAAUUCCGUGCCAGCAGCCGCGGUAA